AACGAACGCUGGCGGCAGGCCUAACACAUGCAAGUCGAACGCCCUAGCAAUAGGGAGUGGCAGACGGGUGAGUAACGCGUGGGAACGUGCCCUUCGGUUCGGAAUAACUCAGGGAAACUUGAGCUAAUACCGGAUACGUGCGAGAGCAGAAAGAUUUAUCGCCGAAGGAUCGGCCCGCGUUCGAUUAGCUAGUUGGUGAGGUAAUGGCUCACCAAGGCGACGAUCGAUAGCUGGUCUGAGAGGAUGAUCAGCCACACUGGGACUGAGACACGGCCCAGACUCCUACGGGAGGCAGCAGUGGGGAAUAUUGGACAAUGGGCGCAAGCCUGAUCCAGCCAUGCCGCGUGAGUGAUGAAGGCCCUAGGGUUGUAAAGCUCUUUCGCCAGGGACGAUAAUGACGGUACCUGGAUAAGAAGCCCCGGCUAACUUCGUGCCAGCCGCCGCGGUAA
rnacentral:rRNA from 1 species